GACGUUGCUAUCAGCCAUGCCGUCAUUGGCCUUGAAGGUGAACUGGUAGGGGCCGGAAAAGCCAAGGACAGGAGUGAAGGUGAACGUGCCGUUGGGGUUGACGGUGACGCGGUUGCCCGGGUCACUCACCUCACUGAAGGUCAGGGAAUCGCCGUCGGCGUCCGUCGCCAACGCCGACAGAUCGCCGUUGAACGGGGUGUCUCGUUGUCCGUUAGCCGGAGGGCUGUUGUUGGUGGCCACCGGGGCGGUGUUGGACACCGUGACGGUGAAGGAGGUGUCCCGGAAGGCGCCGAAGCGGUCCACGGCCCGGACGUUGAUGGUGGCCGUGCCGGCCUGCCCGGGUUGGUAGUCCAGCACCAGGCGGUUGUCCGUGAUCGUGGCCGUCACCAGCGCCGGGUUGUCGCUGGUCGCCAGGUACGCCAGGAACUCGUCGCGCCUCACGACCCGGACAUCGGAGAUCAGGGCGUAGUUGUCCGCCGUCGUGUCCGUGGGGAAGCUGAUCCGGCGUAGUUGUUCAGGGGGACGUUCUUGAACGGGCUGUUGGGGUUGCCGCCGCUGAAGUCGAACGUUGUGAAGGCGGACAGGAUGUUGACCACCGCCUGGUCGGCCGAGCCGUUCAGCCUGCCGAACACCGUGAAGCCGCCGUUGUUCGUGUCGAGGUUGUUCGGGGCGCCGCCGUUGUUGGCCAGGUUGAAGAAGAACUGGCUGGUGGCGCUGUCGGGCUCGCCGUCCCGCUUGGCCAUCGCGAGGGUGCCGAGCGUGUUGGAGGUCCCGAACUCGUUUUGCACCGUCGGCUCGUUCACCGCAGCGACCGGGUCCAGCCGCGACGGACCGGUGUUGAACUCGAAGCCGCCUCCCUGCAGCACGAAGUUGGAGAUCCGGCGAUGGAAAACCGUGUCGUCGUAGCGGUCGCCCAGGACGUAGUUGAAGAAGUUGGCCACCGUCCGCGGGGCAAUCGUGUCGAACAGGUCGACGGUGAUCGGCCCGGCGGAAGUCAUGAUGCGCACCUGGCUGUUCGUCAUGUUCGGGUCGGAGAAGAAGCCGGCCAGGUCGAUGGUCGUGUCGGCGGCGUUGUUGGCGACGCUGACGUUGCCGAUGGCAGGGGCGAGCGUCGGCGGUUCGUUCACGGUCAGCGUGUUGGCACUCGGGUCAAGGUCAGCGCCGCCGUUGACGGCGCCGCCGUCGUCCUGCACCUGGAAGGUGAAGAUGGCGUGGGGCGCGCCGUUGUCGUUGGCAUCGGGGUGAACUUGAAUCUGCCGGCGUUGAUGUCGGUGGUGCUGACGAACUGGCCCGCGACGACUGCCGAGCCGUUAUUGGUCAGGACGCCGUGGGUCGGCAGCGUGGUGACCUUGACCGCCAGGAGGGCGUUGCUGGGGUUGUCGUUGGAGUCGGAGAAGCCGAAGUCGGCCGUGGCGAAGACGCGGUCGAUACCAUCGUUGGUGGUCACCGUGUUGUCUGUCCCGGCCGGCGCGUUCGGCGCCGGGGUCAGGGUCGGGACGACGUCGUUGCCCGUGCCGCCACGGUAGCUGAUGAAGAAGGUGUGGGCAGUGCCGUUGGCGUCCUGCACCACAACGGCAGCGCCUUCAGCGAGUCCGG
rnacentral:misc_RNA from 1 species